rnacentral:sRNA from 1 species
UGAAAAUGUCCAAAGGUCAAAGGUAGAAAGUGACACAAUCGUUGGAAUACUCGAUACUGGAAUUUGGCCAAAUUCCUCAAGCUUCAGCGACAGAGGCCUUGGUCCACCACCACAGAGAUGGAAAGGAUCAUGCCAAAACUUCACUUGUAAUAACAAAAUAAUUGGAGCAAAAUAUUUUCGGGUCGAUGCUGAUAUUGCCGACAUCAUAUCUCCCGUUGAUACGUUGGGUCACGGGUCUCACACUGCAUCGACUGCUGCUGGAAACUCUGUUAGCAAUGCAAAUCUGUUCGGGCUUGGCACAGGAACACUAAGAGGAGGAGUUCCAUCAGCACGCAUUGCUGUGUAUAAAGUCUGUUGGAAGACUGGUUGUAGUAAUGCUGACAUUUUAGCAGGAUUUGAUGCAGCCAUUCAGGAUGGUGUUGACAUUAUAUCUGUUUCAUUGGGACCUAGAAUGGUCACAUUCACCGAUUAUUUUGAUGAUGAAUUUGCAAUAGGAGCCUUUCAUGCAAUGAAGAGAGGCAUAUUAACUUCUAAAGCUGCAGGCAAUGCUGGUCCACACCGUGGCACAAUGACAAAUCCUGCACCCUGGAUCAUUACCGUGGCUGCUUCCACUACAGACAGAAAGUUUUCGACCAAACUCCAACUGGGCAAUGGCCGAAUCCUCGAGGGAAUCUCAUUGAAUACGUUUAGUUCAACACAGAAAAGUUACCCUUUAAUUUAUGCUGGAGAUGCUGGUAGAAGGAAUAAUUCCAUGUCCAGGUUUUGCCGUGAAAACGAUUUGGAUGGAGCUUUGGUGAAAGGGAAAAUUGUUUUGUGUGAUGGCUAUACUCCUUCUCAAUAUGUGGGAUUAGCUUCUGGGGCUGCUGGUCUUAUAUUCACUGCUACAUUGACUUCAGUUUCGGUAGAGGCAUUUGCAAUGCCAACAAUUCAAAUUACCCCAAGUGAUGGGAAUUCUGUAUCUUCUUAUUUAAAGUCAACAAGAAAUCCAACAGCUACCGUAUUCAAAAGUAUUGAAGGAAAAGAUUCAUCAGCCCCUUACAUUGCUACAUUCUCAGCGAGAGGUCCAAAUAAAGUCACUCCAAACAUUCUUAAGCCUGACAUAGCAGCUCCAGGGGUUAAUAUUCUGG